rnacentral:rRNA from 1 species
CUACGUGCCAGCAGCCGCGGUAAUACGUAGGUGGCAAGCGUUGUCCGGAAUUAUUGGGCGUAAAGCGCGCGCAGGCGGAUCAGUUAGUCUGUCUUAAAAGUUCGGGGCUUAACCCCGUGAUGGGAUGGAAACUGCUGAUCUAGAGUAUCGGAGAGGAAAGUGGAAUUCCUAGUGUAGCGGUGAAAUGCGUAGAUAUUAGGAAGAACACCAGUGGCGAAGGCGACUUUCUGGACGAAAACUGACGCUGAGGCGCGAAAGCCAGGGGAGCGAACGGGAUUAGAUACCCCGGUAGUCCUGGCCGUAAACGAUGGGUACUAGGUGUAGGAGGUAUCGACCCCUUCUGUGCCGGAGUUAACGCAAUAAGUACCCCGCCUGGGGAGUACGACCGCAAGGUUGAAACUCAAAGGAGUUGACGGGGGCCCGCACAAGCGGUGGAGUAUGUGGUUUAAUUCGACGCAACGCGAAGAACCUUACCAGGUCUUGACAUUGAKGACAGAACUAGAGAUAG